GACGAACGCUGGCGGCGUGCUUAACACAUGCAAGUCGAACGGUGAAGCUCCAGCUUGCUGGAGUGGAUCAGUGGCGAACGGGUGAGUAACACGUGAGCAACCUGCCCCUGACUCUGGAAUAAGCGCUGGAAACGGCGUCUAAUACUGGAUACGAGAAGGGUCCGCAUGGGCACUUUCUGGAAAGUUUUUCGGUUGGGGAUGGGCUCGCGGCCUAUCAGCUUGUUGGUGAGGUAAUGGCUCACCAAGGCGACGACGGGUAGCCGGCCUGAGAGGGCGACCGGCCACACUGGGACUGAGAUACGGCCCAGACUCCUACGGGAGGCAGCAGUGGGGAAUAUUGCACAAUGGGCGAAAGCCUGAUGCAGCGACGCCGCGUGAGGGAUGACGGCCUUCGGGUUGUAAACCUAUUUCAGCAGGGAAGAAGCGAAAGUGACGGUACCUGCAGAAGAAGCACCGGCUAACUACGUG
rnacentral:rRNA from 1 species